rnacentral:rRNA from 1 species
UACGGAGGGUGCAAGCGUUAUCCGGAUUCACUGGGUUUAAAGGGUGCGUAGGUGGGCAGGUAAGUCAGUGGUGAAAUCUCUGGGCUUAACCCAGAAACUGCCGUUGAUACUAUCUGUCUUGAAUGUAGUGGAGGUGAGCGGAAUAUGUCAUGUAGCGGUGAAAUGCUUAGAUAUGACAUAGAACACCAAUUGCGAAGGCAGCUCGCUACACUACUAUUGACACUGAGGCACGAAAGCGUGGGGAUCAAACAAG